GCGAGGGUGGCGGAAUUGGCAGACGCAACAGAUUUAGGUUCUGUCGACCGAAAGGUCGUGGGGGUUCAAGUCCCCCCCCUCGCAC
rnacentral:tRNA from 1 species